rnacentral:rRNA from 1 species
UACGUAGGGUGCAAGCGUUAAUCGGAAUUACUGGGCGUAAAGCGUGCGCAGGCGGUUAUGUAAGACAGUUGUGAAAUCCCCGGGCUCAACCUGGGAACUGCAUCUGUGACUGCAUAGCUAGAGUACGGUAGAGGGGGGAUGGAAUUCCGCGUGUAGCAGUGAAAUGCGUAGAUAUGCGGAGGAACACCGAUGGCGAAGGCAAUCCCCUGGACCUGUACUGACGCUCAUGCACGAAAGCGUGGGGAGCAAACGAGG